rnacentral:rRNA from 1 species
AUGCGGGACAGCCCCUACCGGCGGCUAUUAAGUCAUCGCCGCCGGCGCGAAUCGAGGGAGUGCGGCUGCGGCGACCGACGAGAGACUGACGCGCGUGCGGACGAUGCAGUGAUUUGGGCGUGCUGGUGGGAUACGGCGUCGCCGCCGGCCGUUAGAUUCGCAGCGGACGGUUCAAACGGCUCUGCAUCGGUCGGUAGCACUGGAAAAAAGGAAAACUAUUGGUGCAACUACAUGUCGGCUGCAUUGGCACAUGCAAAAUUCAUAUAUGAGUGCGUGCAUGGGUUGGUAAUUGUUGGCAUUGACACAUCAUGGAGUAAGCUUUGUUCCCGUUUACGACCAAGUGAGACAACCUCGCACACGGCUCUCCUUUCCUCUUCCUCCUCUCUCCCGUUUCUUUCCCAACAUACACCGGCCAAACCAUCCGUCGACAACUUCAUCGAAGCCAAGGAGGUGAGCCAGAGAAACAACCCCGUCGAGGGGGACCCGGACUUGCUCUCACAAUUCAUGAUGGUCAUGGGCGAGGAUGAUGGCCGCGACAAGCUCCCCGCCGUGUUCCCCAUGCCGGAGGCAAAGCGCCGGUUCCCGCGGGAUGUGGUUGUCAGCUUCAUUCUGGUCGGUGAGUAUACGACGACCUUGGCCCUGACAUGGUUCUUCUGGAUCCUCACCGUGAACCAGCGCCGCGAGCAGCGUGUCCACUACGACGUCUCGCGUUCGCCGAACGGCAACGUGGUCGCCAAUUAUUCGGCGUACAAGCGGAUGGAGAAUAUCGGCCCGGAGCACUCGCUCGGUAACGGCGGCAAGUUUGUGGCGCGGUACCCGGUGUGCCACGCAAGGCCGCGUGCAUGCUUCGGGAAGGAGAUGGUCUACGUGCAGACGAAGACGGUCAUGUGGAUUGGAGGUUGGUGUGAUACUCAUGUCUUCUCUGAUUGGGAUGCAAGUUCAAUAGUGCUUAUUCGGGCAUGGGCACCUCCUCAAUAUCCUCCUCUCCAUUUGCUGCAUCGUUCAGAAGAUGUCCUCCUCUGCUUUUGA